AGUGAACGCUGGCGGUAGGCCUAACACAUGCAAGUCGAACGGCAGCACAGUAAGAGCUUGCUCUUACGGGUGGCGAGUGGCGGACGGGUGAGGAAUACAUCGGAAUCUACUUUUUCGUGGGGGAUAACGUAGGGAAACUUACGCUAAUACCGCAUACUACCUACGGGUGAAAGCAGGGGAUCUUCGGACCUUGCGCGAUUGAAUGAGCCGAUGUCGGAUUAGCUAGUUGGCGGGGUAAAGGCCCACCAAGGCGACGAUCCGUAGCUGGUCUGAGAGGAUGACCAGCCACACUGGAACUGAGACACGGUCCAGACUCCUACGGGAGGCAGCAGUGGGGAAUAUUGGACAAUGGGCGCAAGCCUGAUCCAGCAAUACCGCGUGGGUGAAGAAGGCCUUCGGGUUGUAAAGCCCUUUUGUUGGGAAAGAAAAGCAGCAGGUUAAUACCCCGCUGUUCUGACGGUACCCAAAGAAUAAGCACCGGCUAACUUCGUG
rnacentral:rRNA from 1 species